rnacentral:lncRNA from 1 species
GCUACCUCAUCAGACCCUGAAGGUCAGCGUCCCGGCGCUCUCGAACAUAUACUCCUCAGCUCCCCGACGCUAGAGCUCGAUAUCAAACCCUGCAUAAAAGUGCCCCGACGCUGCCAUUACACUCGAAUCCAGCUCCCCGAAGCUGGGAGCAGUUCUUAAACGCUUUUUAAACGCUUAAACUUCUCAUCUAUAAUUAAUCCAACUUCUAUUCCACUUCUACUUUCUCCACACUACUUUGGCACGAUAAAUUCUAGACAUACCCAUUACUUUAACAUCUCCUUGCUCUUUGCACUAAUACUUGGUAGUUCACCAAAAUUGUCUCUCAUAAUUGUUUCCAAGUUGCUCUUUAAAGGAAAAAAGGUAUGUUGCUCACAAUUUCUUCUCCUCAGUCGGUAUAGAUUACAGGUAUCAAUGGCCUACACUAGUAAAUGCAAAAAACACAUAUCUUUCAUAUGAUACCCACUCUGUUUUCUUCUUCUGGGUCAUGCUUGUUAUUACAUAUCAAGUGAGG